CCUACGGGAGGCAGCAGUGAGGAAUAUUGCUCAAUGGGGGAAACCCUGAAGCAGCAACGCCGCGUGGAGGAUGAAGGUUUUCGGAUUGUAAACUCCUUUUGUUAGAGAAGAUAAUGACGGUAUCUAACGAAUAAGCACCGGCUAACUCCGUGCCAGCAGCCGCGGUAAUACGGAGGGUGCAAGCGUUACUCGGAAUCACUGGGCGUAAGGAGCGCGUAGGCGGGAUAGCAAGUCAGAUGUGAAAUCCUAUGGCUUAACCAUAGAACUGCAUUUGAAACUGUUAUUCUAGAGUAUGGGAGAGGUAGGUGGAAUUCUUGGUGUAGGGGUAAAAUCCGUAGAGAUCAAGAGGAAUACUCAUUGCGAAGGCGACCUGCUAGAACAUAACUGACGCUGAUGCGCGAAAGCGUGGGGAGCAAACAGGAUUAGAUACCCGAGUAGUC
rnacentral:rRNA from 1 species